rnacentral:rRNA from 1 species
UACGAAGGGAGCUAGCGUUGUUCGGAAUCACUGGGCGUAAAGCGCACGUAGGCGGAUUUGCCAGUCAGGGGUGAAAUCCCGGGGCUCAACCUCGGAACUGCCUUUGAUACAGCACGUCUUGAGUCCGGAAGAGGUGGGUGGAAUUCCUAGUGUAGAGGUGAAAUUCGUAGAUAUUAGGAAGAACACCGGUGGCGAAGGCGGCCCACUGGUCCGGUACUGACGCUGAGGUGCGAAAGCGUGGGGAGCAAACAGG